rnacentral:rRNA from 1 species
UACGUAGGGACCGAGCGUUGUCCGGAAUCAUUGGGCGUAAAGAGCGCGCAGGCGGUCGAUCAAGUCGAGUGUGAAAGCCCCCGGCUCAACUGGGGAGGGUCAUUCGAUACUGAUCGACUCGAAGGCAGGAGAGGGUAGUGGAAUUCCCGGUGUAGUGGUGAAAUGCGUAGAUAUCGGGAGGAACACCAGUGGCGAAGGCGGCGACCUGGUCCGAGACUGACGCUGAGGCGCGAAAGCGUGGGGAGCAAACAGG